UCCGGUUUGUCACCGGCUUGCAGGGCCAUGUCAAACCUGGGUAAGGUUCUGCGCGUUGCGUCGAAUUAAACCACACGCUCCGCUGCUUGUGCGGGCCCCCGUCAAUUCCUUUGAGUUUUAAGCUUGCGCUCGUAGUUCCCAGGCGGACCACUUCCCGCGUUAGCUAGGCCCCCACAGACGGAGAUUCCGCCUCCAAAGGCCGAGUGGCCAUCGUUUACGGCGUGGACUAC
rnacentral:misc_RNA from 1 species